UGUGCCGCCGACACCUGCG
rnacentral:misc_RNA from 1 species